UUGGUUCUAUAAGAGAGCAGGCCGAGCAAGCCAGGGGAAGCAAGCCAGUAAGAAACAUCCCUCCAUGGCUUCUGCAUUACCUUCAUGACCUGAUUGAGUUCCUGACAUCCUUUGGUGAUGAACAGCAAUGUGGAAAUGAUAACUGGACCUGGAUAGAGGGAAGUGACAAGUCUUCUACUUGCCCGAGAAGAAAGAUGUCAAUAGAGAAGGUAGAUUCUAAAGAGACAUAGACCUGCCUCAGUAGAACAGAAUGUGAAGGAACAUCACCUCAAACAGAAUGGGCUACUUGCUGUCUCUUGGAACCUUUAUUCAAGAAAGGCUCAGCAUUUAGUGGCCAGUUUGAAUUUUGAACCUUGGAAUACUGCUCAGAUCCACCUAUGGUUGAUGAUCACUUUUGAAUGGAGCUAGAGCAAGAGACAGAACUAUGGGAGGAUUGGACUCUAGCAGGAAAAGCCUUGUUUCAGAUCCUGUUUGUGAGGGCUUUGAUCUUUUCACCCUUGCUUACUGAAUUAAGAAUGGAGAAUUCAUGGACUUUGAGUGACAUUUAAAACUAAAAACAAAACAACAACAACAACAACCUCCCCCCCUGCCCCCCGCAAACUUCUUCCUCAAUAUUACUUACAAAUCAAUCAUCUUGAAAAGAUUGACUUCUUCCAUGAAAUAGUCCAAUCAAAAUUUAUGAAAUGCCAGAAAGGAAAAAAAAAAACAUAAGCUCAAAAAUAUAACCACCAGAGUGCUCUACACCCACGUGAAUCAGCCCACCUCAUUGUACUUGUAGAUUUUUGAGUGAAAAAUUAGCCUAUGGGGCCCCCCCCUGCCGGGUGGUAAUCCUUGGGUUCAGCCUUAAACACCACAUUGCAGAUUUCCUGCUUCUAAAGUGAUGGAAGAAUGAUUCUGUUAGUCAACCCAUAGGAGCUCCUCACUUGGAAUGUGCUCAGCUGAAUUCAGUCAAUGCACUGAUAACCAAUCCCUUGCUUUUGUAAGACCUUCUGUAUUUGUUUUUAAAAAAUAAAUUUUGAAUUCAGC
rnacentral:lncRNA from 1 species